GUCAUGCAGCAAUUUCUUUGGCUUUUUCUGGAUAUUUCCAUAUGGCAUGAUCAGCACAAAGAGUUCUGUCACCAUCCUGUGAAAGAACUGGUACCUAAGUUGGGUGAUGGGCAGUGGUGGGGACAUGGCAAUAUGGUCCAGCACUUUUGUACCCUCAGACUGCAUCUUUCACCAGGACAUGGGUAGUGUUUUGCAGAAUAAUUCCUACACACACAGGAGCCCUGUGAGGAAUAAUGGCAGACCACAAAAAACUUUGAGAUGUCCCUUCUACCUUCUCUGUCCUGCAAUGGUGCCUCUCCUUGAACAGUUGACUGUUCUCAUGUAAGGCUUUGGCGAGGCUUCUGGUGACUCAGCCUGGAUCUGUCUCCAGCAGUGACUGACUAUAGAUUCCUCCUGUGUCA